CGGGGGAUCGAAAGACCUCGCGCGAUUAGAGCGGCCGAUGCCUGAUUAGCUUGUUGGUGAGGUAAAGGCUCACCAAGGCGACGAUCUGUANCGGGUCUGAGAGGAUGAUCCGCCACACUGGGACUGAGACACGGCCCAGACUCCUACGGGAGGCAGCAGUGGGGAAUUUUGGACAAUGGGGGCAACCCUGAUCCAGCCAUGCCGCGUGAGUGAAGAAGGCCUUCGGGUUGUAAAGCUCUUUCAGCCGGGAAGAAAACGCACUCUCUAAUAUAGGGUGUGGAUGACGGUACCGGAAGAAGAAGCACCGGCUAACUACGUG
rnacentral:rRNA from 1 species